GACGAACGCUGGCGGCGUGCUUAACACAUGCCAGUCGAACGGAAAGGCCCUGCUUUUGUGGGGUGCUCGAGUGGCGAACGGGUGAGUAACACGUGAGUAACCUGCCCUUGACUUUGGGAUAACUUCAGGAAACUGGGGCUAAUACCGGAUAGGAUCUCCUGCUGCAUGGUGUGGGUUGGAAAGUUUCGGCGGUUGGGGAUGGACUAGCGGCUUAUCAGCUUGUUGGUGGGGUAGUGGCUUACCAAGGCUUUGACGGGUAGCCGGCCUGAGAGGGUGACCGGCCACAUUGGGACUGAGAUACGGCCCAGACUCCUACGGGAGGCAGCAGUGGGGAAUAUUGCACAAUGGGCGGAAGCCUGAUGCAGCAACGCCGCGUGCGGGAUGACGGCCUUCGGGUUGUAAACCGCUUUCGCCUGUGACGAAGCGUGAGUGACGGUAAUGGGUAAAGAAGCACCGGCUAACUACGUG
rnacentral:rRNA from 1 species